rnacentral:rRNA from 1 species
UGAGGAAUAUUGGUCAAUGGACGAGAGUCUGAACCAGCCAAGUAGCGUGAAGGAUGACUGCCCUAUGGGUUGUAAACUUCUUUUAUACGGGAAUAAAGUGGAGUAUGCAUACUCCUUUGUAUGUACCGUAUGAAUAAGGAUCGGCUAACUCCGUGCCAGCAGCCGCGGUAAUACGGAGGAUCCGAGCGUUAUCCGGAUUUAUUGGGUUUAAAGGGAGCGUAGGCGGGUGCUUAAGUCAGUUGUGAAAGUUUGCGGCUCAACCGUAAAAUUGCAGUUGAUACUGGGCGCCUUGAGUGCAGCAUAGGUAGGCGGAAUUCGUGGUGUAGCGGUGAAAUGCUUAGAUAUCACGAAGAACUCCGAUUGCGAAGGCAGCUUACUGGACUGUAACUGACGCUGAUGC